AGAGUUUGAUCCUGGCUCAGGAUGAACGCUGGCGGCGUGGAUAAGGCAUGCAAGUCGUGUGGGUUUAGACCCACGGCAAACGGGUUAGUAAUGCAUAGGAAUCUGCCUCAAAGUCGUGAAUAAUCCCGCGAAAGCGGGGAUAAUACACGAUAAUCUCUAUGGAGUAAAGUUGUGUUUCACUUUCAUUCAACAUAUUUUUUAAGUGUGUGUUAAAUUUGUGCGGGUCAUUUAAAUGGUGAAUGGUAGCGAGACACAACGCUUUGAGAGGAGCCUGUGUCCUAUCAGCUUGUUGGUAAGGUAAAGGCUUACCAAGGCUAUGACGGGUAGGGGGCGUGAGAGCGUGAUCCCCAACAUUGGAACUGAGACACUGUCCAAACACCUACGGGUGGCUGCAGUCGAGAAUAUUCCACAAUGGGCGAAAGCCUGAUGGAGCGACGCCGCGUGCGGGAUGAAGGCCUUUGGGUUGUAAACCGCUUUUGUAAGGGAAGAAUCCGUGCUUCACUUUUGUUCAGCACGAAAUUUUUAAUUUUCAAUGAAUUUUGAAUGUAUUAAUUUCCAAAUUUUUUAAACAUUUGAGAAUUUAAAUAUCAAGAAUUUAAUUAGAAAUUUCGUGGCGAGCGGGAGCGAGGUACGGUCUGACGGUACCUUGCGAAUAAGAGGUUGCUAACUCUGUGCCAGCAGCAGCGGUAAUACAGAGACCUCAAGCGUUAUCCGGAUUUAUUGGGCGUAAAGAGCAUGUAGGCGGCUUUGUUAGUCAGAUGUCAAAUCUCCGAGCUUAACUCGGAAACUGCAUUUGAAACGGCAAAGCUAGAGGAAGUGAGGGACCAGUGGAACGUAUGGUGUAGUAGUGAAAUGCGUUGAUAUCAUACGGAACAUCAAAGGCGAAGGCAUCUGGUUGGCACUUUUCUGACGCUGAGAUGCGAAAGCGUGGGUAGCGAAUGGGAUUAGAUACCCCAGUAGUCCACGCCGUAAACGAUGCAUACUAGGUAUUGGGAGAAUCGACCCUCCCAGUGUCGUAGCUAACGCGUUAAGUAUGCCGCCUGGGAAGUACGAGCGCAAGCUUAAAACUCAAAGGAAUAGACGGGGAUCCGCACAAGUGGUGGAGCAUGUGGUUUAAUUCGACAGUAAGCGAGGAACCUCACCAGGGCUUGAAACUAGACUGCAUAGUAUAGAAAUAUACUAGCCUUCGAGGGUGUCUAGCAGGCGUUGCACGGUCGUCGUCAGCUCGUGCCGUAAGGUGUUCUGUUAAGUCAGGAAACGAGCGCAACCCCUAUCGUGUGUUAUAAAUGUCACACGAAACUGCCCAGAACCGAACGCACUUCGUGCUUAAUUUUCAAUUUUCAAUUUAGAAUUUUCAAACAAUUUUCAAUAAUUUAAUUUUCAAAUUUAGAAAUUUAGUUAUUGAUAAAUUACCUGCCUGUCGGCAGGUAGAGACAUUGUUUAGAAAUUAGAAAUUAGAAAUUAGAAAUUGAGUGCUUAGUAAAGCGCGUUGGGUUCUGGGAGGAAGGCGGGGAUGACGUCAGAUCAGCGUGGCCCUUUGACGCCCUGGGCUACACACGUGCUACAAUGGCCGGUACAAAGGGUUGCCAAGUCGUAAGACGGAGCUAAUCCCAAAAAGCCGGUCCCAGUUCGGAUUGAGGUCUGCAACUCGACCUCAUGAAGUUGGAAUCACUAGUAAUCGUGAAUCAGCUAUGUCACGGUGAAUACGUUCUCGGAUCUUGUACUCACCGCCCGUCACACCAAGAGAGUCGGUAACACCCGAAGGCUCUGUUUCAAAGCAGGGACCACGGUGGGAUCGAUGAUAAGGGUGAAGUCGUAACAAGGCAUCCGUAGCGGAAGCUGUGGAUG
rnacentral:rRNA from 1 species